UACGUAGGGGGCAAGCGUUGUCCGGAAUCAUUGGGCGUAAAGCGCGUGUAGGCGGCCCAGUAAGUCCGCUCUGAAAGCCCGGGGCUUAACCCCGGGAGGCGGGUGGAUACUGCUGGGCUCGAGUCCGGAAGAGGCGAGUGGAAUUCCCGGUGUAGCGGUGAAAUGCGCAGAUAUCGGGAGGAACACCAAUGGCGAAGGCAGCUCGCUGGGCCGAAACUGACGCUGAGGAGCGAAAGCGUGGGUAGCAAACAGG
rnacentral:rRNA from 1 species